GGGCCUAUAGCUCAGCUGGUUAGAGCGCACGCCUGAUAAGCGUGAGGUCAGUGGUUCAAGUCCACUUAGGCCCACCA
rnacentral:tRNA from 33 species